AGGCAGCAGUGGGGAAUAUUGCACAAUGGGCGGAAGCCUGAUGCAGCGACGCCGCGUGAGGGAUGACGGCCUUCGGGUUGUAAACCUCUUUCAGCAGGGAAGAAGCGAAAGUGACGGUACCUGCAGAAGAAGCACCGGCUAACUACGUGCCAGCAGCCGCGGUAAUACGUAGGGUGCGAGCGUUGUCCGGAAUUAUUGGGCGUAAAGAGCUUGUAGGCGGUUUGUCGCGUCUGCUGUGAAAAUCCGGGGCUCAACCCCGGACUUGCAGUGGGUACGGGCAGACUAGAGUGUGGUAGGGGAGACUGGAAUUCCUGGUGUAGCGGUGGAAUGCGCAGAUAUCAGGAGGAACACCGAUGGCGAAGGCAGGUCUCUGGGCCACUACUGACGCUGAGAAGCGAAAGCAUGGGGAGCGAACAGGAUUAGAUACCCUGGUAGUCCAUGCCGUAAACGUUGGGCGCUAGGUGUGGGGCUCAUUCCACGAGUUCCGUGCCGCAGCUAACGCAUUAAGCGCCCCGCCUGGGGAGUACGGCCGCAAGGCUAAAACUCAAAGGAAUUGACGG
rnacentral:rRNA from 1 species